rnacentral:rRNA from 1 species
CCCUUAGAUGUCCUGGGCCGCACGCGUGCUACACUGACACUUACACCGAGUUUUUCCAAUGCCGAAAGGCCGUUGGUAAUCAGCAAUAAGUGUCGUGAUGGGGAUAGAUCUUUGGAAUUAUUGAUCUUGAACGAGGAAUGCCUAGUAAUCGUAGGUCAUCAGCCUGCGAUGAUUACGUCCCUGCCCUUUGUACACACCGCCCGUCGCUCCUACCGAUUUCGAGUGGUUCGGUGAACCUUUCGGACCGGCAAUGCCUCGUGUUGCGCCGGAAAGUCAAGUAAACCAUAUCACUUAGAGGAAGGAGAANUCGUANCA